CCGGAUAAUAUUUUGAACCGCAUGGUUCAAAAGUGAAAGACGGUCUUGCUGUCACUUAUAGAUGGAUCCGCGCUGCAUUAGCUAGUUGGUAAGGUAACGGCUUACCAAGGCAACGAUGCAUAGCCGACCUGAGAGGGUGAUCGGCCACACUGGAACUGAGACACGGUCCAGACUCCUACGGGAGGCAGCAGUAGGGAAUCUUCCGCAAUGGGCGAAAGCCUGACGGAGCAACGCCGCGUGAGUGAUGAAGGUCUUCGGAUCGUAAAACUCUGUUAUUAGGGAAGAACAUAUGUGUAAGUAACUGUGCACAUCUUGACGGUACCUAAUCAGAAAGCCACGGCUAACUACGUGCCAGCAGCCGCGGUAAUACGUAGGUGGCAAGCGUUAUCCGGAAUUAUUGGGCGUAAAGCGCGCGUAGGCGGUUUUUUAAGUCUGAUGUGAAAGCCCACGGCUCAACCGUGGAGGGUCAUUGGAAACUGGAAAACUUGAGUGCAGAAGAGGAAAGUGGAAUUCCAUGUGUAGCGGUGAAAUGCGCAGAGAUAUGGAGGAACACCAGUGGCGAAGGCGACUUUCUGGUCUGUAACUGACGCUGAUGUGCGAAAGCGUGGGGAUCAAACAGGAUUAGAUACCCUGGUAGUCCACGCCGUAAACGAUGAGUGCUAAGUGUUAGGGGGUUUCCGCCCCUUAGUGCUGCAGCUAACGCAUUAAGCACUCCGCCUGGGGAGUACGACCGCAAGGUUGAAACUCAAAGGAAUUGACGGGGACCCGCACAAGCGGUGGAGCAUGUGGUUUAAUUCGAAGCAACGCGAAGAACCUUACCAAAUCUUGACAUCCUUUGACAACUCUAGAGAUAGAGCCUUCCCCUUCGGGGGACAAAGUGACAGGUGGUGCAUGGUUGUCGUCAGCUCGUGUCGUGAGAUGUUGGGUUAAGUCCCGCAACGAGCGCAACCCUUAAGCUUAGUUGCCAUCAUUAAGUUGGGCACUCUAAGUUGACUGCCGGUGACAAACCGGAGGAAGGUGGGGAUGACGUCAAAUCAUCAUGCCCCUUAUGAUUUGGGCUACACACGUGCUACAAUGGACAAUACAAAGGGCAGCGAAACCGCGAGGUCAAGCAAAUCCCAUAAAGUUGUUCUCAGUUCGGAUUGUAGUCUGCAACUCGACUACAUGAAGCUGGAAUCGCUAGUAAUCGUAGAUCAGCAUGCUACGGUGAAUACGUUCCCGGGUCUUGUACACACCGCCCGUCACACCACGAGAGUUUGUAACACCCGAAGCCGGUGGAGUAACCUUUUAGGAGCUAGCCGUCGAAGGUGGGACAAAUGAUUGGGGUGAAGUCGUAACAAGGUAGCCGUAUCGGAAGGUGCGGCUGGAUCACCUCCUUU
rnacentral:rRNA from 1 species